GACGAACGCUGGCGGCGUGCUUAACACAUGCAAGUCGAACGGAAAGACCCUGCUUUUGUGGGGUGCUCGAGUGGCGAACGGGUGAGUAACACGUGAGUAACCUGCCCUUGACUUUGGGAUAACUUCAGGAAACUGGGGCUAAUACCGGAUAGGAGCUCCUGCUGCAUGGUGGGGGUUGGAAAGGUUCGGCGGUUGGGGAUGGACUCGCGGCUUAUCAGCUUGUUGGUGGGGUAGUGGCUUACCAAGGCUUUGACGGGUAGCCGGCCUGAGAGGGUGACCGGCCACAUUGGGACUGAGAUACGGCCCAGACUCCUACGGGAGGCAGCAGUGGGGAAUAUUGCACAAUGGGCGGAAGCCUGAUGCAGCAACGCCGCGUGCGGGAUGACGGCCUUCGGGUUGUAAACCGCUUUCGCCUGUGACGAAGCGUGAGUGACGGUAAUGGGUAAAGAAGCACCGGCUAACUACGUG
rnacentral:rRNA from 1 species